rnacentral:lncRNA from 1 species
AUGGAAACCUAAGGGAGAUGCUCCCAGCCCCACACCCGGUGCUGCCCCAGCCGCCCUGGGGCUCAGUCCUUGACCCCACUCUGUCUUGCCCUUCCCAACUGCACAGGCAGGCAGCAGCAGAGCCGGGGCAGGCACGCUCCCUCCAGGCUUUUUUCCUGUGAGGAAGCAGAGCUGCAGCUCCCCGUUCUCCUCUCCGCCGUGUUUGCCAUCGGGCAGCGCCGGGAGCAUCCGCGCUCGGAGCCAGGCACGGACACGAGCGGCGCCUCUCCCGGGGAGCACAACCAGAUCCGCGGGGCUGCGGGGGCAAAGCGAGCAGCACCAGGGCCGAUCUCAGCGGACAGCAGCGUGUGUUCAGCACAGGCACGGGCUGGGAGCAGCGGCAGAGAUCCCCGUCUGCACCGAGCCUGGCUGUCAGCUCUGCCGCUGCUCCAGCCCCGCACCUGCGGCAGCGCUGCCUGCUCCUGCCCCAGCACGGGAAUCGCUCCCCUCGGGCUUUCCCCGGUUAUCAUCACCUGGUGGUGCCACACUGGAGACAGCGCUGCCUCCUGCUCCUGCCCCAGCACGGGAAUCGCUCCCCUCGGGCUUUCCCCGGUUAUCAUCACCUGGUGGUGCCACACUGGAGACAGCGCUGCCUCCUGCUCCUGCCCCAGCACGGGAAUCGCUCCCCUCGGGCUUUCCCAGGUUAUCAUCACCUGGUGGUGCCAGGCUGGAGACAGCGCUGCCUGCAGAAACAAAAGAUGUAACUCAGCCAGGAGAUGGGCCAUGUCUAGAGAAAUACAGAGACCCCAGGCGCUAAUCGACCCGAGAUGGGUAUCAUAGAAAUCCUCAAGCAAAUACAUGUAAAUGCAGCAUUCCCGUAAACUCCAUCAAGGGAUUCAACAACUCCAGGCACUAAAUUAUUCUUCUUCAUCACCAAAAAAAGAAAAAUAUUAUUAACCUAUAGACUCUAAAUAGAAAAAAAACCAUGACUGCCAAAAUCUUAGCCUCAGGCAGAAUUUUCCCUAUAAAAACCACUUGUGCUAAAUAAAGGUGUAUGAACAUAGAAGAAAACUUCUGCU